rnacentral:lncRNA from 1 species
CUGCUCAGUGAGUGGGAGGGCUGGUACCUUCUCUUGUUUCUGAGACCCAGGUAGCAAAGGAGUUUGGUGUGUUCCUGCAAGACCUCUCUUUCCCUAGGGGAAAACAGAGACAUCUCAUCACAGAUAGCUCUAGGUUUGCCUUGGCCAUGAUGUCCAAGUGGUCUGCUUGGUUCCAUGCCUGCGUCUGAGCUGGCUCUGUGGGAGGUGCCAAGCUGCCUUCGACACUGUGCAUGGCACUUUAAAGCUCUCAAUAAAUAUUUUUCAAGUGAAGUCAAUGAAGCAAGAAAGAAUCUCAACUAGUUUUGAGUUUUGGUUGAAGAGAAGGCUCACAGAGGCUCAGGGAAGCCCUCAGGUUUCAUGGGGACAGCCUGAAGAAUGACCUUCAUAUAAUGGCCACACAGCCACUUGGGCCACCGGAGCUCACCGUGAGACACACUCACCAUCUCGUCUUCAUGUCUGCUUUUCAGAUCCAAAUCACAUGCAGUCUGUUUUCACCUAAGAGGUUGCCGUGAGGGCCUGAAUGCUAUAAAAGGGAAGCAGAGGAGUGCGGUGGGAUAACUCUGGAGGUGGAUGGUGCUCCCUUUAGUUUUCUGGCAAGAAGCUAGGGAGAAGGUGACUUGAGCUCCUCGUGUGUUUUGAUCACUCAACAAAGAAGACAAAAGGGCGUUUCAUAACCUGACAGUGGGAGAGCACAUUAAAAAGCCCCAGGUAGGGACCAUUGCUGGGGAACUUGUGUGGUCAUUUGGAGGGUCAGUGAUGUGAGGGUACCUGCUUCAUGGGCCACACAGUGAGUUGACACAGGAGCUAAGACUGUCUCAGCCUUCUUUGCUCAACAGCAUUCCCAACCUCUUUGUGUUGGGCCCUGGACUCUUCCCUAAGGUUCUCUCCCUCAUCCAAUGACUGUGGGCAUGUGCUGUGCCAUGGUGUGAAGCUGGGUCUUCCUUUGUGCAAGCUGGGCUGAAUUCAACUGUCCAGAUAGAAAGGUGGACAUGGAAAAAUUGGGCUUUGCAAAUGGUCACCCAAUUCUUGCCUUCCUGGUCUCCAGAUCACCCUUCCUAUACCGCCACUCUGGAGAAAGAAGUACAGAACGCUAACAAGAGGAGAUGAGCAUGUGAUUAUUGUUACCACUUGUCUGGAAGCAACCAGAAUGGAGUGGGGAAGACUCAAGGAGGAGAUCUUCACAGGACUCACCUCUCAUCACAGCUCCCGUGUGGUUGUAAUCACCCCAGAGGGAAAAAUAAUUUCGGUUUUUUAUGGUUUAAUUAUUGGUGAUAGCAGCUGUUUUGAAGACACAAACACAGAAGCAAGUUCUAGAACAUACUCACAGUUUCCUUGGUCACAGUGUUGUCAGUGGUUCUAUAAAGGUCUUAUGAAUCUCUACUUAGUUGACCACAAGUAGUAAGCAAGAAACAAUCCUGUAAAGAGAAUGGAGGUCAGAAUAAAGAAGCCUUGAGGGUUUAAAUCGCUUCUUGAAAAGGUAAUAAUAUUUACUCUUUUAAAAAUUAUAAACAAUACAUGUUCCUUUUACAGAAAAAAAAGAAAAAAAUAAGGAAACAGGACAUAAAACUCAUCUGUUAUUCCACCAUCUAGAUACAACUACUGUUAACCCAGGAACACUUAAAGAGUGUUUCAUGAAUAUUUAUGUAUACAUGCAAAUAUAUUUUCUAUCGGUCUUAGUUUACAAAACAGGGAUCCUAUUGUCCUUGCUGUUUUGUGACCUUUUCUUUCAUUGAAUAAGAUAUUAAUGAAUAUCCUUUGCCAGUAAAUAAACUUCAACUCUGUGGUGGACACAUUCUAAGAUGAUUCCCUUUGAUCCCCACCCCCUUGUGUUCUCACCAUUGUAUAACUGUGUGAUCACUCCAUUUGAGUGUGGGCUGAACUUCUGACUUACAUCCAACCAAUUGAAUAUCACAGUGUUGGGAUAUCAUUUCCAAGAUUAGGUUACAAGAAGACUCUAUCUUCUUGCUCAUGCUCUCUUAUUCUCUGGCUUGCUUUCUGCCAUGGAGCCAACUGCCAUGUCAUCAACUGUCUGCCCUACAGAAAUGCCCGUGUGUCAAGGAGCUAAGGGAGACCAGCCCAGGAGGAGCUGAAUCCUGCCAACAAUCACUUGAGUGAACUUGAGAGUGAAUCCUCUCCAUGUUAAGCCUUGAGGUGAUUGUAGCUCCAUCAAAUACCUUCAUUGUAGCCUUGUGAGAGAUCUGAGUCAGAGGAUGGAGUUAAGCCAAGCCCAGAUUCCAGACCCUCAGAAACUGUGAGAUAAUAAAUUUGUUGUUCUAAGCUACUAAGUUUUGGUGUAAAACAGCCAUAGAUAACUGAUACAAAUCACAUAAUUUUUAAUAGCUGCUUCAUAUGUUAAUAUGUCUGUACCAUAAUUUACUCAAUCUUUUGUUGCUGCACAUUUUGGUUAUUUUGUUUUGCUAUUAUAAACAGGGCUGCAAUGAAUAUUAUUGUACUUAAACAUUGGUACACGUUCUUCUUUCCUAAGGAUAAAUUCCUUGAAGUAAAAUAGCUGGCUUUCAAUGGGUAUGCAUUUUUUUAAAGCUUUUGGUAUGUUAUUCCCCAAUCACUUUCUGUUAGGAUUGUAUUCAUUUACAGUCCUGCUGGCUGUAGUUCAGGUUAAUUUCAACUACUUUAUCUUGAGUUGUCUCCAUGAAAACCAGUUAGAAACCGAAACCAAAGCCCCAAACAAGAAAAGCCCCAAACAAGAACCCAGGAAAGAAAACUAAGGUUGAAUCUUGAAAACUAUGAGAUAAAUUUGAAGCUAAACAAUUUUCAAAGUACCAUUGUUUUGAAAUAAGUCUGAUAAAUUCAACCACCCUCAAAUUGUUAUUCUUAUCUUUCAAUGGACACAGAAGUCCUGAAAAUGUGGUGAUACUCAUAGUCUUCACGAACUUUGAAAGGGAAAACAACAAUUUCUCUGGUUGAAGUCAACAUAACAAUAGGCUAGUUUGAAAAUCCUGUUUUUUUUCAGUUGCACAAAGGAUUGUCAAUAAAUUCAACUUUUUAAAUUACU